CACCGGCGGCCCGAGUGGUGAUCGUGAUUAUUGGGUCUAAAGGGUCCGUAGCCGGUUUGGUCAGUCCUCCGGGAAAUCUGAUAGCUCAACUAUUAGGCUAUCGGGGGAUACUACCAGACUUGGAACCGGGAGAGGUAAGAGGUACUACAGGGGUAGGAGUGAAAUCUUGUAAUCCCUGUGGGACCACCUGUGGCGAAGGCGUCUUACCAGAACGGGUUCGACGGUGAGGGACGAAAGCUGGGGGCACGAA
rnacentral:rRNA from 2 species